GAGGGUCAUUACCCUCUCAAGUGGCUAGGGUUCUCAUCUAACCCUAGCACCGCCUCACCCUUCUCCCUUUCUCCUGUUGUCCUAUCGCCGGUUUUAAGGUGGCGCAGGCGUGUGAGACACGGUAAUGGCAAAGAAGUCCUUUUUCACAUAUUUCUUUGAUUAAAUCCUCCAAACACACCACUAAGGUAUAAUCCUUGUACAUCUUGCUAUUUUUUAUUUAUUUAUAGUUGUUAAGACGCGAAGCAAGCCGUUGAUUGCUUUUCCUUUUUCGAUCUGGACCGUUUAAUGCGAGACCUGAGAUAGAACUUGUAAAACAUUGAAAGUCCCAUAUCGUUUUUCUUCGUUCAGAGGAUAUUUUAGAUGGUUCUGUAAAUAGAACCUCAUGUUUGACACAAAGGGGGAGGCGAAAAAAAAGAAAGGCGGAAAACCGAAUAUAAAAGCUUCAUAUUGAGUUUUACUCGGGAGAAUAGCUUUUAUCAGUAUAAUUUUAAGUUAAGAGGGUAAAAAAUCUUUUUUUAUUCAAAAGUCUUUACUCUUUUCUGUGUUUUAUUUGUAUUUGUGGCUCGAGUUUGGGAUUUGGAAGCACAAAAGAGGGCUCCAAGUUCAGAUCUUGAUUCAGCUGCGCAUACAAAAGUCGGGUCAACCUGCCUAGCCCAAUAAGGAAAAUUCUUUCCUCGAAGAUAUUGAGUCCGCGAAGACGACGUAAAUAGCUUGGCCCGCAGAAGGCCCUACCAUGGGUGAAAAUGGCUGGCUAGGGGCUUGGUACGCCCCUAGUCUUUAUGUUAUUUGCUUAUUGUCUUUUUUCCAUUUUUUGAGUUUUCAUGUAUUUGUAAACUUGUAAAAACUCAUGUCAUAGGACAACGGUACUUAUGCCGUUUAGAUUGACUCUAAGUCCCCAAAACCGAUUUUCAAAA